GAUGAAGAACGUAGCGAAAUGCGAUAAGUUAUGUGAAUUGCAGAAUUCAGUGAAUCAUCGAAUCUUUGAACGCACAUUGCGCCCCCUGGUAUUCCGGGGGGCAUGCCUGUCCGAGCGUCAUUACAACCCUCAAGCUCAGCUUGGUGUUGGGCCCCGCCGCCCCGGCGGGCCCUAAAGUCAGUGGCGGUGCCGUCCGGCUCCGAGCGUAGUAAUUCUUCUCGCUCUGGAGGUCCGGUCGUGUGCUCGCCAGCAACCCCCAAUUUUUUUCAGGUUGACCUCGGAUCAGGUAGGGAUACCCGCUGAACUUAAGCAUAUCAAUAAGCGGAGGA
rnacentral:misc_RNA from 1 species